CGCGGGCUCAUUUUACAAACGCAGCACAAAAUAUUUCUCGAAAAGAUUUCAUUUGCCGCCUAUCUCUCCUUCCUCCUCUCAGGUUAGUGCUUUCCCCUAAAUUCAUUUUCUCGCUUCUCUCCUUCCCAGCUUCCCCUCUUCGGUUUCUCUCUCUCCUUCCCCUCUCCGGUUCGCCGCUGCUCUUCCUCUCCUUGCUGCGUCCCUCCUCUACCGCUUGUACAACCGCCUGCCGGAUUGGUUUCCUCGUUGGUUUGUAUUUCCUAACCCUAUUUUUAUUGAUUUAAUUUUCUGAAUAAUAAUUUGAUUUAUUGAUUUUCUCACCAAAUAUUCAGUUCAAUUGUGUAUUUAAUUAUGUUAAAAUUUGGUAAUUGGAGUUGUUUGGCUACACUACUAAUAACAUUGUUACCAAAAUAAUUUGGUGUAUGAUAGAUUUUUGGGAUUACUGUUGUUACUAGAAGUAUGAGAUGUGAAUUUGUUAAUAAUAAUAUUUAAAUUUGUUUUGGAGCCCAGUAAGAUUAAGAUGAAGGCGGAAAAUGUUGAUAUUUGUUACCCUCAAAUUAUCCAGAGUGGUGGUAAGUUUGAUUUGAGGCCGAGUGCAUCAAGUAAUGAUGAUUUGUUGUAUUUUGAUCCAGGUAGUGUGAUUAUUUGUGCUAUUAGAUCUAGGUAUAACAUUUAUUGUUAAAAUAUAGCAAGAACUAUUCUGAUUGAUGCUAAUCAAAAUCAGAGUGAGGCCUAUGAGGUGUUGCAUAAGGCGCAUGAUGCGGCCAUUGCUGCCAUGAAGCCUGGGAAUAAAGCCCGCGUUGUGUAUGUGAUGGAGAGAGAAACCAGAAUUGGUGAAGAAUUUGAUAAGUCAGCUGGCACUGGUAUUGGGCUUGAAUUUAGGGAAACGGGUCUGAACUUGAAUUCCAAGAAUGAGAAAGAGUUGAAACCAGGGAUGGUAUUUAAUGUUGUUUUAGGGUUUCAGAACUUGACAACCCAGGCCAGUAAUCCGAAAAGCCAGAACUUUUCUCUGCUUUUAGCUGAUACUGUCAUUGUUGCGGAGAAGGGCCCAGAAAUCACAACCGCAUUGAGCUCUAAGUUGCUAUGAAUUAGCUUUACCUCAGUCAGGAGCUUGAACUAGAUUGUUUCUAUCUGUCUCCACUGGUAUACUUGUUAGUCUUCUCCUUUUAACGUGCUGUAACUGCUAGAGCUUUAGCCUGCAAAACACUAUGAGCCCCAACACGUUCUUUUCCCUCAUACCUCUCCUCCUUUGUACAGAUUAAAACCCAUCCAAUUGCAGCCACAUUAUUUCCUUCUCCUCUGCUUUUUUCCAGGCACCAUCUGCAAUAAGAAAGUCAGUUGUUGGAUUAUCUUGGCCUGCCAGCCAUAUCACUUUUUCCUAUAAAUUGUUCUGAAUAUCAGCUACUCUCACAUGCCUUGUUUUGAAAGAUUGUUAUCUUCAUUCUCCUCAUUAUUACCAACCUGAUAUGCAUAGAAAAAUUUAACAGAACACUUCCCAUUUGAUAACACAACCCAAUGGAACUGAUCUUCAUCAUCACAUCAUGGGAUAUGAGUAUUAAGGAUUUCCCUUGCUCUUUUCUUACAUAAGGUAUUCCAGAUUGGUGUAUUCCAGGCUCUCGAGUCAGUACAAAAAAGCUCAUUUACCUUUAUUACCCUUUGUUUAUUCUGGACAUGAUUUCUUUUAUAAAAGAAUUCCCUAGAUGGUAACCACACUAUGGAGCCAAAAUUCAUGUUUCCAAUAAAAGCUUAAUUAAUGUGCUCAAUUUUUAUGAGAGAAUGGUAUACGGAGUAAAAAAGUUACCAAAGUUUUUUUAAAAAGAAAAAAUGAUGUCAAAAGUAAUUUAAGCGGGAUUUUUUUUCUUAAGAAAUUGACACGUGUACAAAAUGAUGUCAUCGGUAUUUCCUUUAGUUGUAGUUAUAGAUUAUAUGGUCUAUUUGAUCUCUAAAUGAGUCUUACAAGGUUGGGUAUUGAUCAUCAUAGGUUUUCUUAGCUUUAGAAUACAGUCAAGACGUGGUUGAAUUUUCCAUAUUGUAUACAGGUGCUCCCUUGCCGAGUUUUCUGCACCCAUGUAAGCCUUUUGUUAUUUUUUGUGCGAUAUAUGGAGUGGUUUGAAUGAAAAUGUUGUCUGGUUCCAGAAUUUUGUUAAGAGUAAGCUAGGUUGUAGUUUUUGGAUUGCUACAUUACACUAACAAGAUUCUUCUGCGCAAAAGAAUCUAGUAUUUAAACUUAAAGGAUAUUGCCUACUCAUUUUAUGAGGAAGAAGAAGAGGAGCCACCGUGGGUAUUCAAUAAUCCGAGGGAGCGGCCGUUCACCUUUGAGGAGAUAGACGAAGUUCGAGAAAUGUUGGCAAACUUCAUUACCAUGUCUUUGAUAUUUUCUUGUACCGAAUCUUAAAUUAUGGAUGCUAGCUAGUUUUUCAUAAGAUUGUAAUGUAAUCGAAUUUUAUAUUUAAAAUUAUAUACUAUUUAAUUUAAUUAUCUAUAUAAUUAGAUACUUUUUAUAUAA